AAGGGUAUAGCUCAGUGGUAGAGUGCAUGCUUAGCAUGCACGAGGUCCUGGGUUCCAUUCCCAGUACCUCCA
rnacentral:tRNA from 1 species